AACGAACGCUGGCGGCAGGCUUAACACACGCAAGUCGAGCGCCCCGCAAGGGGAGCGGCAGACGGGUGAGUAACGCGUGGGAAUCUACCGUGCCCUACGGAAUAGCUCCGGGAAACUGGAAUUAAUACCGUAUACGCCCUACGGGGGAAAGAUUUAUCGGGGUAUGAUGAGCCCGCGUUGGAUUAGCUAGUUGGUGGGGUAAAGGCCUACCAAGGCGACGAUCCAUAGCUGGUCUGAGAGGAUGAUCAGCCACAUUGGGACUGAGACACGGCCCAAACUCCUACGGGAGGCAGCAGUGGGGAAUAUUGGACAAUGGGCGCAAGCCUGAUCCAGCCAUGCCGCGUGAGUGAUGAAGGUCUUAGGAUUGUAAAGCUCUUUCACCGGUGAAGAUAAUGACGGUAACCGGAGAAGAAGCCCCGGCUAACUUCGUACCAGCCGCCGCCGUAAGAC
rnacentral:rRNA from 1 species